rnacentral:sRNA from 1 species
GUUGAUUAUUUUUCCAUUAGAAAGUAGACUCGAAUAGCUUCGAUUCGAGUACUCAUACGCGUAAUUCCGGCAUCGGGAAGGGGUUUAACAGGACUGACAAAGUUGUCCCAGUAAGUGAACGCGUUUUUGACGCGUUUUGAACGCGUUUUUGACUGGGUAAACGCGUUUUUACUGUUUAAACGCGUUUUUACUAUUUAUACACGUUUUUAUGGUUAUUUAAGAGUGUUUUGGGGCUGAGAGAAGUUCCUAAGUUGAACCGGAGGUCAGAGCACGGAGGUUUUGAAGCAGAGAGACUUUGGAGUUCUGUUUUGAGUCGGGGGAACGUUCGCAAAGAGUUUUUGGAAGAUUAGCUAAGGAGAAAACCAUGGCGAGGAUGUUCGUGUGGAGACAGCUUUGGAAGGAGGUAGCGAUGCUACUGUUUAGUCUUCAUAGGACUUUCUUAAUAAUUCCAUGUAUUUCGGAAUACCUUUCCUUUCACGUUUCCAACUUAAACUAUUAGUGUGUUUAAGUUUUAAAUUCUGACUCUGUUUGGGAUGAUUGUAAUCCUAAUUACUCUAAACUGCU